rnacentral:rRNA from 1 species
UACGUAGGGGGGCAAGCGUUGUCCGGAAUCAUUGGGCGUAAAGCGCGUGUAGGCGGUUCGGUAAGUCCGCUGUGAAAGUCGGGGGCUCAACCCUCGGAUGCCGGUGGAUACUGUCGGGCUUGAGUACGGAAGAGGCGAGUGGAAUUCCUGGUGUAGCGGUGGAAUGCGUAGAGAUCGGGAAGAACAUCAGUGGCGAAGGCGGUCUGCUGGGCCGUUGCUGACGCUGAGGCGCGACAGCGUGGGGAGCAAACAGG